UGCCAGCAGCCGCGGUAAUACGGAGGGUCCGAGCGUUAUCCGGAAUCAUUGGGUUUAAAGAGUAUGUAGGCGGAUUGCCAAGUCAGGGGUGAAAUCCCGGGGCUCAACCCCGGAACUGCCCUUGAAACUGGUAGUCUAGAGUAUGUUAGAGGUAAGUGGAAUUUCUAGUGUAGGGGUGAAAUCCGUAGAGAUUAGAAAGAAUAUCGAAGGCGAAGGCAGCUUACUGGGACAUUACUGACGCUGAGAUACGAAAGCGUGGGGAGCAAACAGGAUUAGAUA
rnacentral:rRNA from 1 species